UUGGAAAGGCUUUGGGAGGUUGUCGGAAUUACCACCUUAGGUUAGUAGAGUUCUAUUGCAUAUUCUUACAGACAUUUCAUUGCGUAUAUGGAUACAAAGUACAGUACAACAAUAUGCACCCUAAUACUAAUGUAUUUCCUGGAUUGUCCGAUUUAUAUAUGAGUAUUGAGGCGUCCUUGUGCUGGCGCACCUCCGGGAGGAGGACAACCUGAGGUGAUCUGUGAUGGGCGCCCAGCGAGGCAUGACGUUUCGGCGCUUCGCCAUGGCUUCUAGGCGGGGUGGCUGAGCCAUCGGCGUCGGGCAGUGGUGUUGCCGCCUGCAUAAGCAACCUACAUGGCGUCAAGAAGAAGCUGGUGCCACACUAUGCAGAACAAGGAGAGAUUGUCGAGGGCGGAGCUGUGACGAUUUUGGAGGUCAUGAUCACCACCAUGAAGCAGAAGAGAAGCAGAAGAAGCAAUUUCUUUUCCACCACCCCAUUAUAACCUCUGUUAGAUAAUCUGCAACAUGCUCAUAUGGUAAUGGUAUCCUAGACUGAAGAUUCAUGUUUUAUGUGGAAAGCAACCUAUCUAUUUUUCAUGCAGGAUUUUGGUGCAGAUAAAUUUACUCAGAAAAAAACUAGGCAGCAAGAGCGAAAGGUAGGCAUCCAUGUACAGUACAUACUCAUUUGCAAGAUAAGGAAUAAUUCUAAAAAAG